CAGCCGCCGCGGUAAUACGAAGGGGGCUAGCGUUGUUCGGAAUUACUGGGCGUAAAGGGCGCGUAGGCGGCCAUUCAAGUUAGAUGUGAAAGCCCUGGGCUCAACCUAGGAAUUGCAUUUGAUACUGUUUGGCUUGAGUUCGGGAGAGGUGAGUGGAAUUCACAGUGUAGAGGUGAAAUUCGUAGAUAUUGGGAAGAACACCAGUGGCGAAGGCGGCUCACUGGACCGACACUGACGCUGAGGCGCGAAAGCGUGGGGAGCAAACAGGAUUAGAUACCCGAGUAGUCCCUGUCUCUUAUAC
rnacentral:rRNA from 1 species